rnacentral:lncRNA from 1 species
AAUCUUUCAGAAAGGACUGUGAUGAGAUAUGCUUAGAAGCACAAAAUCUUCCCUCUCUUUCCAAAGGCCAUGCUCUGCUCAACACAAUUUCUAUUGCUGUUUAUUUUUUUGUAUUAUUUCUCAGUGUUUCUUUUAGUGCUUUCUGAGUUACUUGAUUUUAUAGACCCUUUACAACUCAGGAAAGGCCAUUUUCUACUCUUUAGACCCUUUCAGAAAUAAUAAGAUGACAUUGCACAACCAUUUUUUCUUUGUUGUGCUUCUAUUCUUAUGGCAACUUCUUGUUACAGCCAAAGCUUAAUUGCUCCACUGAAACACUGGCAACAAAAAUCGUCUUCUCUUCUCCCUUUGUGAAAAAGGCUUUCACUUAAUGUGGAGAAAGGUAUUAUAUACCAGGGAAAUGGAACUUUGUAUAAAUGAUUUUCCCCCAAGAGGAACUAAAGCAUUUGGAAGGUAUCUGAAUUCAGAUGAGGACCUAAUUUAUUACUGAGGACCUAAUCUACGGGAGGUGCAAAGAAGAAUGAAAUAUUGUGUCUGCCUGUGAUGCACAUUGCUUAAUAUGAAUACUAAGAAAAAUAGUCAUCUGUUUCUGUUCCUGUCCCCCUCACUGCAAGGUGAUUUCUUUGGGGUUCUAGUACUGUUUUACACAUAUCACUUCCUAGAGUCAGUAUGGUCAAUAAAUACAUUCAAUCUCAACAGCAGGCCAAAAAUACAUCUGGAGGAAAAAGUAGAUGUGUCAUAUGAGAACUACAAAUAAAAUUCAAUGAUUAUUCACAGGAGAAAGAUUGCAUAAGGUGAGAGUAGGGAGAAGAAAUGUGCUUGGCUAGAGGAUUAGCAGGUAUUUAAGAAGCUAAGCAGUAUAAUUUAGGUUAUCUAACAAAGCCAUUUAUGUAAUAGUCUUAUUCCACUGUAAAAACACUAAAACCCUUUCAAGUCCUAACAUGAUAUUCUAGCUCCUCCUUCCUCUCAAGCAGAUUUUGAUGUGCAUAAUUCUGGUUUUGGAAUAACAUGCCCUCUGAGAACACAGUAAAAAAAGAAAGGAGUCUUUCAGAAGCCACACAGGCCCAAUUUUCCAUAGUAUAAUGAAGUCGCAAUGUCACUGCCAUUUCUCCACUUCUGCAGGG